AGCUCGUCUGUUUUGUUUUAAAAACUUAAAAACGCUCACUUCCCGCCGAUAAUGCAAAUGACAAAAAAGAAAAACAGAAAAAAGGUGACCACUGAGAGAGAGCUUCUCCCCAGAUGAACGGUACAAAUAAUAUAUGCGCCCACAGCUGAUACGGUGGUAAUAUGCUAUUUUUAAUCCCAAUUCCCAACAACUCGAUCGCUCAGUCCGCCGAGACGAUCGAAGAGUAGGAGGAAGAGGCCAAGAGGAGAAGGAAGGAACUCAGCAGCAGCGGCAGCAGCUUGUGAUGGUAACGUUUCUGCAUUCCAAGUUAACAACGACGGCUCCUCCUCUUCCGCUAGUGCCGUUGGUGCAGAUGGUGGUGCUGCUGCUGCUGCUGUCGGUGAUGGCACUGGCGGGGCCGACGAGCGACACGGACGCCCUGGCCAUGUUCCGGCAGAGCAGCGAUGCUCACGGCAACCUGGCGGGCAACUGGACGUCGGCGUCGGGGGACGCCUGCUCCGGGCAGUGGGUGGGCGUGGGAUGCACCGGGGGGAGGGUGACGUCGCUGUCCGUCCCCUCCCUCGACCUCAGGGGGCCCCUCGACCCGCUCUCCCGCCUCGACCAGCUCCGCAUCCUCGACCUCCGCGGCAACCGCCUCAACGGCACGCUCCUCCCCAUCCUCCCCUCCCUCCCCAACCUCAAGCUCCUCUACCUCUCCCGCAACGAGCUCUCCGGGCCCAUCCCCCCGGCCAUCGCCCUCCUCACCCGCCUCCUCCGCGUCGACCUCUCCGACAACGACCUCCGCGGGCCCAUCCCGGGCGCCGACGCCCUAUCCAACCUCACCCGCCUCCUCACCCUCCGCCUCCAGAACAACCUGCUCUCCGGGGCCCUCCCCGAUCUCUCCGCCGCGCUGCCCCACCUCGCCGACUUCAACGCCUCCAACAACCAGCUCUCCGGGAGGGUGCCCGACGGCAUGCGGGCCAGGUUCGGCGCGGCCUCCUUCGCCGGGAAUGCGGGCCUCUGCGGGCAGGCCCCUCCGCUGCCGCUUUGCUCCUUCAUCCCGCACGACGACCCUUCGCGGCCCUCUUCUUCCAAUGCCUCCUCCUCCUCGCCUGCAUCUGGUCGGUCCGUGGUGCCGUCCAAUCCCAGCUCGAUGCCGGCAACGAACGACAGCGGUGGAGGAAGGGGGAGUAGGGGAUUGAGCACCGGAGCGAUUAUCGGGAUCGCCGUCGGAAACGCCUUGUUUUUGCUGGUGCUCCUCUCCUUGCUGGCGGCAUAUUGCUGCUGCGCCGGAGAAACUUUGGGAGAGAAGGAGCUGGACAAGAGCAGCUGCGGCGGCGGCGGCCUUUCCUACUGCUGUGAUCCGGAAGGGAAUCGGCCGUCGGGAGGAGUGGGCCGACGCAGCGACGGCGGGGAAAGCGACGGGGCGCAGAGCAAGCUGGUGUUCUUCGGAUCGGGAGAGGAAACUAAUGAAGCCGAGGAGGAGGAGGAGGAGGAGGAGGAGGAGGAGGAUAAGAGUAGGAGGAGGAAAUCGGGGAUGAAGUUGACGAGGAGGAUGGAUGGCGGCCAGCGCCGGUUUGAGCUGGAGGAGCUGCUGAGGGCGUCGGCGGAGAUGGUGGGCAAGGGGAGCCUGGGGACGGUGUACAGGGCGAUGCUGGAGGAUGGCUGCAUGGUGGCCGUGAAGCGGCUGAGGGACGCCAACCCCUGCGCCCGCAGGGACUUCCACAGGUACAUGGACCUCAUAGGCCGCCUCCGCCACCCCAACCUCGUCCCCCUCAGAGCCUACUACUACGCCAAACAGGAGAAGCUCCUCAUCUACGACUUCCUCCCCAACGGCACCCUCCACGCCCGCCUCCACGCAAGUCGUGGUGCGGGGCUGCCGCCGCUGGAUUGGACCACUAGAAUCAGGCUGGUGUUGGGUGCAGCUCGGGGGCUGGCUCGCAUCCACGACGAGUACCGUUCGUCCGGGAUCCCCCACGGCAACGUCAAGUCCGCCAACGUCCUGCUCGACAAGAACGGAGUUGCCUGCAUUGCCGACUUCGGUCUUGCUCUGCUUCUUAGCCCGGCCCAUGCUGUUGCCCGCCUCGGCAGCUACGUGGCACCCGAGCAGGCCGAGUUUAAGCGGCUUUCCCAGCAGGCUGACGUCUACAGUUUCGGCGUGCUCGUCCUGGAGGUCCUCACGGGGAGGGCCCCCGCCACUCAGAUUCAAUGCCCCCCUCAUGCUUCUCAAAGCAGGAACAACAACAACAACAACAACAACAACAACAACAAGUAUACCCAUACGAAUGCAGGCAGCAUGGUCGGGGCCAGCCUGCCCGAAUGGGUGAGGUCCGUGGUGAGGGAGGAGUGGACGGCGGAGGUGUUCGACCCGGAGCUGUUGCGGUACAAGAACAUAGAGGACGAGAUGGUGGCAAUGCUGCAUGUGGGGCUGGCGUGCGUGGCCCAACAGCCGGAGCAGAGGCCCACCAUGAGGGAGGUGGUGAAGAUGAUCGAGGACAUGAGGGUGGAGCAGUCGCCGCUCCCAGAGGAGGAGCUUGAGGAUGACGACCCUCGAUUCUCGCUCUCCCAUUCUCUCGCAACCAACAUAGAUCAGGACGGAGACUCCCGCAUCAGCUACUAGUCCUAAAUCUAAUCCAACAAUUCUCUGUUUCUGAGAAGAUUUGCUCCUCAACAAUCCCAAAUCUCGUCCGGCUGCCUUUCGAGUUCCGACUGGGCGAUGAACAGCGUUCUACCAUCCUUCUCAGACAGCGGUCAUCAUCUGCACUCUUCUAGCCUCUUUAUACAUCAUUUCUAGUGUACAAUUAAAUAUUUCUUCUUUUUUUUAUUUUCCUGAAUCCAUAAAUUCACAUUUCAGAAUCCACAAAUUUACAUUUCAGCUGUGUUCGGGCCUUAGCAGUUCAAAAAAGGGCCCGAAACCAGAAGCAAAUGGAAGCCUUUCCAUAUCACCGAUAUAUUGUUUGUCUCUCGAUAAAUUCAUGUAAUACUACUGUACUACAUAACUGAACUAACUAAAAGUUCAUGUAUGACAAUGUAUACAAAAAAAAUUGUUUUUCCAUUCUGUUUAUUUUCAGUUUUCUUCUAUUAUCUAAUGGAGGGUGAACAUCACAAGAAAACAAGAUCCAUAUUCAUCCCCAUAGCUUCAGUAUAUACUAUAUAGUGCCUAUAACUGGUGUGAAAGCUGGCCAACCAUCCAAGAAGACCCUGCUCGUCUGUCAUGAAUGAGAGGAGCAGUGUAGUUGCUGACCAUGUCGGAUCUAUAAUCCUGCGCGAGCAACCAUUUCGGAUAACCACUUCCGAAUUUGUCCUCCUGACUUCUGGGAACUAACCAUCGGAAAAUAAAUUAUGAGUAAAUU